rnacentral:rRNA from 1 species
AACGAACGCUAUCGGUAUGCUUAACACAUGCAAGUCGGACGGACUAAUUAGGGCUUGCUCCAAUUAGUUAGUGGCAGACGGGUGAGUAACACGUGGGAAUCUGCCCAUCAGUGCGGAAUAACUUUUAGAAAUAAAAGCUAAUACCGUAUAUUCUCUACAGAGGAAAGAUUUAUCGCUGAUGGAUGAGCCCGCGUCAGAUUAGGUAGUUGGUGAGGUAACGGCUCACCGAGCCGACGAUCUGUAGCUGGUCUGAGAGGAUGAUCAGCCACACUGGGACUGAGACACGGCCCAGACUCCUACGGGAGGCAGCAGUGGGGAAUAUUGGACAAUGGGCGAAAGCCUGAUCCAGCAAUACCGAGUGAGUGAUAAAGGCCCUAGGGUUGUAAAGCUCUUUUAGCAAGGAAGAUAAUGACGUUACUUGCAGAAAAAGCCCCGGCUAACUCCGUG